UCCAGCUCAAACUGUCAAUCAAACCACUUAUCUCCGCCCACUGAGUGCAGCGAACUGAUAUUCCACUGCAGAACAGCUGAACGUCUACGGGCCGGAUUAUCCAUAGACAGGAUUGGGCGAGUGGGCAACGGGGGGCACCAAGGGCUCCAAACAACGGCGCCUGCCAUGAAAUGCCAUGUCCAGAAAAGGGAAAGGAUUUUGGGUGCACGAGCAAAGCGUGUGGACCAACUACGCUUCACCUCUGUAAUCGCCACCGUUUUUCCGCUUUCCGCACGUCUACUAUUGAAAAAGAAGUAAAUACCGCGUACCAAAACGCCCUUCAAUCGUUUAACCGAUAGGUCUAGCCCGAGAAAACUCUAAAUAUGUCGAGAAGACGCGCCCGAACGCGUUAAAAAUUAGACAUCGCAGAGAUGAGAGAGAGAGAAUUUCUAGCCUACAUAACACCAAAAACAUUACAGAUUAGAAAGGUCUUGCAGUUAAGAAAACUGGAUAAAAGACGAGAAACGUGUAAAGGAUACAAGCAUGUAUUGCCCUGUCACUGAUCUCAUCACAAUAUGCUAUCUGGAUGUUACUUAUUGUUUAUGUAGCCUAUGUAGGCUAUUUUAUUCCUAGAAUUAGUCAAGGGGGCUAUGAUUCUUUGGUUCAUAACUUUCUAUUAUGAAAGCAACUGCAUAGGGUUUAGUCUAUUUAGUAUUUUUUAGUAAUGCAGUUAUUUUGGGGAAAAUGUGUAUAAUUGCAUGCUGAUUUUAAGGUGUGCUCAAAAUGUUCUGCUUGCGCUCCUAAAAUUUUCUCUUAAACCAAAAAAAACUAGCCCUGAAUGACUAGAUUUUUUACAAUUUGUAUUCAUUUUUCAUUGCUGGCUUAUUUUAAGGAAAGUGUAGUGCAUGCGAGAGAAUAACCAAUCAGUGCACCUUUCAAAAGACCAAGGUCCCUGGUCCCCUGCAGUUUUUGCCAGGUAGGCAGGCAGAUACAUGUUGGAUAUUAUAGUAUAAUCUCCUAUUUUGAUUGUAAAUCUCCUAUUUCCCCCUAUUAUCAAUAACAUACAUAAACAUGUUACCUAAAUAAUAAAAAUUAACCCAUAAAACAGAAUAGCUAAAAAAUAUUUUCUUCAAACUUAUUUUUAUUGAACUUUAUGUAUACAAAGCAGAUAAAAGAUUAAAUCAAUAUAUUACACAAUUAAAUAAUAGGGAGUACACAAGAGCAAACACAUGACUCUACAAAUUAAACAAACAACCACCCAGAAAGCAAAUUGUUAAAGUCAAGAUUACAUCUAGAAGGCCAGAUUUGCACUGUAUAAUGCCAAGCUAUCAUAAAAUGUCAUUUUUAUUCAUUAAAAGUGAAUUGUUCUAUCACUAAUAGUGAAUAAAUAUAAAGCUUUUAAGACGAUUAUUAUAUGAAGUUUAUUUAACUAAGUUCGGGAGGAGCAUGGUCAUGUGAUCCAACCAAUCAGUGCAAAGAGGAGCCUAUAAAUGGCAGUCCCUCACCUCUGUCCCGUGACAGAUUUUUUGCAGCGUCCCUCCUCCACCCCAUCACCUCACUCUCAUCUAGAUUCAUUUAUCACAGUUAAAGAGAGGGGAGUACUUUGGGUUCGGGCUAAAAUUCCGAGCUCCGAGCCCUCUCCUCGGACAGCACGCGAAAUAUGCUUUCUCUCAUCGAUUCCGUGUUAUUGUGAACUCAUGAAUGCUAUUUAUUUGGAAGGGGGUGCCCUUUUUCAGUUUCAGCACAUGACUCUCAAAAGGUCUGUGCAUGGCCCUGCUCCGCCCGCAUAUCUUUUUUCGGCAUUGAUAUGCGCUUCCUAGUUUGUCACUCUCUGCGCUGUUUAUGGUACUGGAUGACUCUUUGAUCUCUCUGCUGCCCAUCUGACAACUCACUGCUUUUGGAAUGUUCACUGUGUAGUGAACAGCGUACAACAAACAGAGCUGGGUAGCAGUGGCGGCUGGUGCUAAAAAAUGUU